rnacentral:rRNA from 1 species
AACGAACGCUGGCGGCAGGCCUAACACAUGCAAGUCGAACGGGUGUAGCAAUACAUCAGUGGCAGACGGGUGAGUAACGCGUGGGAAUCUCCCCAGAGGUACGGAACAACUCAGGGAAACUUGAGCUAAUACCGUAUGUGCCCGAGAGGGCAAAGAUUCAUCGCCUUUGGAUGAGCCCGCGUUGGAUUAGCUAGUUGGUGGGGUAACGGCCUACCAAGGCUACGAUCCAUAGCUGAUCUGAGAGGAUGAUCAGCCACACUGGGACUGAGACACGGCCCAGACUCCUACGGGAGGCAGCAGUGGGGAAUCUUGGACAAUGGGCGCAAGCCUGAUCCAGCCAUGCCGCGUGAGUGAAGAAGGCCUUAGGGUUGUAAAGCUCUUUUACCCGGGAAGAUAAUGACGGUACCGGAGAAUAAGCCCCGGCAAACUUCGUGCCAGCAGCCGCCGUAAU